rnacentral:rRNA from 1 species
UACAGAGGGGGCGAGCGUUGUUCGGAAUUACUGGGCGUAAAGGGCGCGUAGGCGGCCCGCUAAGUCGAACGUGAAAUCCCCCGGCUUAACCUGGGAACUGCGUCUGAUACUGGAGGGCUUGAGUGCGGGAGAGGGAUGUGGAAUUCCAGGUGUAGCGGUGAAAUGCGUAGAUAUCUGGAGGAACACCGGUGGCGAAGGCGGCAUCCUGGACCGACACUGACGCUGAGGCGCGAAAGCUAGGGUAGCAAACGGG